rnacentral:tRNA from 1 species
GGCUCGGUAGCUUAGUUGUUAGAGCACUUGUCUAGCGAAUAAGAGUGGUGAGUUCAAAUCUGGCCUGAGCUG